rnacentral:rRNA from 1 species
CAGCAGCCGCGGGAAAACGUAGGGUGCAAGCGUUAAUCGGAAUUACUGGGCGUAAAGCGUGCGCAGGCGGUUAUAUAAGACAGAUGUGAAAUCCCCGGGCUCAACCUGGGAACUGCAUUUGUGACUGUAUAGCUAGAGUACGGCAGAGGGGGAUGGAAUUCCGCGUGUAGCAGUGAAAUGCGUAGAUAUGCGGAGGAACACCGAUGGCGAAGGCAAUCCCCUGGGCCUGUACUGACGCUCAUGCACGAAAGCGUGGGGAGCAAACAGGAUUAGAUACCCCGGUAGUCCCUGUCUCUUAUAC